rnacentral:rRNA from 1 species
UACAGAGGGGGCAAGCGUUGUUCGGAAUUACUGGGCGUAAAGGGCGCGUAGGCGGCCUGUUAAGUCGAACGUGAAAUCCCCGGGCUCAACCCGGGAACUGCGUCCGAGACUGGCAGGCUCGAAUCCGGGAGAGGGAUGUGGAAUUCCAGGUGUAGCAGUGAAAUGCGUAGAGAUCUGGAGGAACACCGGAUGGCGAAGGCAGCCCUCCG